rnacentral:snRNA from 1 species
GCAUUAUGUUCAGGACGGUACGA